CGAAACUGAGGCGAUGAGGCUCGCCCUCGACCGCGGCGCCGCCGCUGAUGGCCUCUACGGAACG
rnacentral:ncRNA from 2 species